GCCCCAGGAUUGGCCCUAUCUCCUCCUUCCCUGGUUGAGUGUUUGUUCCAGGAAGUCAGAAGGUGGUGCUGACACCUCAUCGGUGAUGCAGAGACUGUUGCCAUGGAGACAGAGCCGUACCUCCAUCUGUCCCCGGCUUUCAUUGCACAGACUACUUAAUAGGUGUGUCCUGGAAGUCCUGUGGGAUUACACACCUGUGUGAUGUCCGGACGAGCGUCUGUCAGAGUGGCCCCAGGACACCUGCAGCAAACAUAAUUCUCACCCGCUUCUCUGAGAUGGUGCAGGUGUGAAUCACCGUCUCUCUCCCCUCCCCUGUAUGACCCCCGGUCAUCCAGAAAUAGCCCCUGUACAUGAGUCAGGAUCCCAGCCCACCUGAUCUCUGCGUCCAACCCUCUGAAGAGGACAUCUGUGACAGCAUGAGAGGUGCAUGAGUGCUGGCUGAAAGAAUGUGACAGGAAAUGUAGAGAAGAGUGACUGACAUGGAAAAACAUCAGUGGGGGGAUUCAAAGCCAGCAGGCAGUAAUGGGGGACUCCAGAGGGAUACGGGAAACACGGAAAACUACGAAAAUGGAAAACAUGGGAUGUGAAAUAAAG